UACAUCAGAACCACAAAGAUAUGAUGCCUUGGUUGACACUGGUGCGCAGUGCACAAUAAUCCCAUCACAACAUGUGGGGAUAUGUUGGGUGGAGUCGCGGGAGACAAGCACUCACGGCAUUGUGGUCAGCAAGUCUCGUUUAUUGUAAUAAUCUACACAUACUUAUAGUACUACUAAUUAGCUCAUACAUAUUGCAAAAGCUGAGCUCCUUAUUGGUGGGAGCUAUUCCAUGAGAUCACUGUGGUCUUAUCUUUUCUCUUCCAUAUGGUUUCUUUCUGCUUACUUAUCUGGAUUCACAUCCUGUCAUUUGUACAACUUCUUGCUCAAGGAUUUAGUGUCCUUGCCAAGUCUGCAUCUUUACUAAGCCUGCUAUGUCAUCAUGACCUUUGCUUUUUAGCCAUUCUUCAGAAAGACUCUCAACACUUCCCCCGUUUUCUUUUUGCAUGAUCAUAGUCAUAUUGACUGACUUCAAAAUUAAAUUUUUUAUACAUGACAUUAUACAGCUAAGCAUAAGUAAACUAAGCAAAACAAUUAUUAGCAAUAGCAUUAAAGAUUUGAUCACACUUUUCAUCCAUCCUUCUAGGCCCAUCCACUCUGUAAGUCCUUCUAAUCCGAAAAAUCCGGAGUCCUUUUUUAUCUUUUUGGGAGUGUUCGAUCAAAUUCUUAAUUUCGGCGUGGAUGGACUUAGAAUGAUCUUCAAGAUCCAUGCAGCACAUUCCCUCAAAGUCUUCACAGCCAUGGCCGUGGGCUAAAAGUAAAAAAUCUAUAGCUGCUCUAUUCUGAAGCAGGGCGUGCUGGACUGAACUCAGGUCUUCUGCAAGUUCAGACAACACUCGGCUGGUACCAUUUGCCUGUUUGACUAUCCAACAUGUCAGUUUUUCUAAGUGACGAUGGGCUCAUGCCGCAGCUGCACCAGGAACAAAAAGGGAGGUAAAAAGCACUUCUAAUUUGCUCCAUAACGUGAGGUCAUCCUCACAUUCAGAUGUUAUAGUUUCUGCUAAAGACCUCUUCCAUCGUAUUCGGUGUGUAGCAUUAGGAUGGUGCUGUGGAAGUGCAAGACUCAGUUGGCCAAAGGUACAGGGCCCGCCUAUAGGCUUGGAUGGGAUACCUGACCAGGCAUGAUUCCCACAAAUUAGGAAAAACCCUCUGGGUAACUUUCGAGGGAAAAACGUUCCAGGGGCUGCAAGAGAUCGAUUUCUCACGGUAACGUUGCACCAUUCUAAGUCCCACUGUGAAGCAUUGCCAACAGGAUUAAUCCAGGUGGGGUUGGAUGUAUUCAUUCGACAGCCACUAAGGCUGCCCUCUUGGCAUAAAUUGCGUGAACUAUUAAUAUAGAUACAGGCUGUAGCGUUAAGGGAAUCAACUAGUUCUAUUUCUUGUGGCUCAGGGCCCACCGGGAGUUUAUCAUCCCAGAUAUCAUAGUCUAGUAGGCCAUGAGUAAUAUUUUUUGUGGAAUUCAACGGCCAAAUAGGUUUGAACUGCUUCUGGGUCUCGAUUACAAAGUUGCGCCAUGUAUUAUCUGUUAAUGGUACUCCAACUAAGCAUGUCAAAAAUGGAGUACUGGGUGUGGCUAAGGAGGCACAGAAUGUUGUGGUGUUUAAUUCGCGUGCCAAGGAGACCCAGAUAUUAUCUCUGGGGUCAAACACCUUAGGAGGGUAGGGAAGGUUGUGACCUAUUACUGAGCCUGCGAUUAGCAGCACGAUGCUUAAACCGCCGGCAAACAUGAUCCCACUUUCUUGGUUCAACUUGCCACUGAAUGGGGACCCCGAUGUUUAGUUGGCAGGAGGAUUGCAAAACUACAGAGUAACUAUCUGCUAAGAUCUUUUUUGCUAAAUGCUGUACCGACCACGCUAAUUCUUUUAGCCGCAGAUCUUCAAGAUUUUCAACUAGGUGCAAACUGUCAAUGAUAUUUUUGCUUGUGAGUUGUACUAAUGCUCCUUGAGCCGUCUCACGGUGCCAGUGAAAACUGCAAGACUGACACUAAAACCCUUCUGAUAGAUGUCGCUGGUGGACCCACCACUGUAAAUUACAACCUCCGCAAAGCAAUCUUACCCACGCCUUAUGAUCACUACAAUUACAUGCAAAGCAAGCAGAUUGGCAAAAGCGUAAAAAGUGUCUCUGCAGAUGUGGAAGGAGAUGAUCCUCUAUCUCCUGUUCAGAUUCCACAAGGAAGGUAACGCGAAACCGUUGCUCAACUUCCUGCAGGAUUUGUGAGAUCUUCCUCUGUACUCUUCUCGCCUUCCUCUGUUGUGGGUUGCUCAUCAGUGACAACAGGCUUAGUCCAUUUAGCCGGAACCCAUAGGGGACCUGUCGGAGUGGACACACAUAAAUAACCUCUUCUUUGCUGCAAGGGGGGCGAGAUCCAUUCUAGAACGGAGAUGUCCCCCGUUUUCUUUUGCUGUGUAAUGGCUCCUAAGAGAUGUUCUCCACUGUUCCAGACAGUUAAGGAUAAGGGGGUGUCGGGGUCUAGAUGGUCGACAAAGCCUCUGGAGAUGCAGGAUGUAAUUUGCUGCAAGACUUUAGACUGUUGCGGCGUAAGCGUCACAGGAGUACUUGGGUCUGUGCCCUUUAGCAAAGGACGUAGCUGUUCCAAUAGCAUGUUGGGAAUUCCUGUAACAGGUUUAAGCCAUUGCAGGUCUCCUAGAAGUUUCUGGGCCUCAUUUAGGUUUGAAAUAGAUGCUUGAGUAUGUAACUUUUGAGGUUUUAUUCUCUGAGCGGUAAUAGUCCAUCCUAGAUAUUUCCAUGGAGCAGAAACUUGUAUUUUGUUGGGUGCCACAACAAGGGACCAAGCAGCCAAGGAGGCAACAAUAAUUUGCAUCUGGGCAGGGGUGAAAGGAUCCCUUUGAGCAAAGAGGAUGUCGUCCAUGUAGUGAUAAAUAAUGGCAUCAGGCAUCUGUCUCCGUAAGGGUUGUAAGGCAGCAUCAACAUACAGUUGGCACAAAGUAGGUGAGUUUUUCAUCCCUUGUGGCAAUACAGUCCAUUCAAAUCGCCUGGCUGGUUCUCCUUUAUUCAGGGCAGGUAAGGUAA
rnacentral:lncRNA from 1 species